rnacentral:tRNA from 1 species
GCCCCAGUGGCCUAAUGGAUAAGGCACUGGCCUCCUAAGCCAGGGAUUGUGGGUUUAAGUCCCAUCUGGGGUG